UACGUAGGGUGCAAGCGUUUAAUCGGAAUUACUGGGCGUAAAGCGUGCGCAGGCGGUGAUGUAAGACAGAUGUGAAAUCCCCGGGCUCAACCUGGGAACUGCAUUUGUGACUGCAUCGCUGGAGUGCGGCAGAGGGGGAUGGAAUUCCGCGUGUAGCAGUGAAAUGCGUAGAUAUGCGGAGGAACACCGAUGGCGAAGGCAAUCCCCUGGGCCUGCACUGACGCUCAUGCACGAAAGCGUGGGGAGCAAACAGG
rnacentral:rRNA from 1 species